rnacentral:rRNA from 1 species
UGGGGAAUUUUGGACAAUGGGCGAAAGCCUGAUCCAGCAAUGCCGCGUGUGUGAAGAAGGCCUUCGGGUUGUAAAGCACUUUUGUCCGGAAAGAAAUCCUUGGCUCUAAUACAGUCGGGGGAUGACGGUACCGGAAGAAUAAGCACCGGCUAACUACGUGCCAGCAGCCGCGGUAAUACGUAGGGUGCAAGCGUUAAUCGGAAUUACUGGGCGUAAAGCGUGCGCAGGCGGUUUGCUAAGACCGAUGUGAAAUCCCCGGGCUCAACCUGGGAACUGCAUUGGUGACUGGCAGGCUAGAGUAUGGCAGAGGGGGGUAGGAUUCCACGUGUAGCAGUGAAAUGCGUAGAGAUGUGGAGGAAUACCGAUGGCGAAGGCAGCCCCCUGGGCCAAUACUGACGCUCAUGCACGAAAGCGUGGGGAGCAAAACAGGAUUAGAUACCCUGGUAGUCCACGCCCUAAACGAUGUCAACUAGUUGUUGGGGAUUCAUUUCCUUAGUAACGUAGCUAACGCGUGAAGUUGACCGCCUGGGGAGUACGGUCGCAAGAUUAAAACUCAAAUGAAUUGACGGGGUCAUAGCUA